CAUCGUCAUAACUCAUCACUACAUAUUAGAUAAAGAUUGAUUCCCAAGUUUCUUUUCUUAAUCUCUCUCUCUCAUACUUUAUUCAUUCUCUUCACACCUUCAUCUCCCUCUCUCCCUCUCUCUAGAUUUUGUGUCAGAAACAAAGUACAACAUAUAAUUUCCUUUCAGUUUUGUACUUCCUCGUUGUGUCAGAGGAAAAUCUUUCAUCUUCUUUUUGCCCUUAUUUCGAAACAACCCUAUUUCCACAAGUCGAUUCAGAAUGUCUGCACCUCAACCCACAUCCAAAAACCGUACCUCUCUCAAGAUCCAUCUCGCUUAUCGAUUCCUUCUUGCUUUAAACACCCUCAACCAGAAAAGAUCAGCUUUUGACCACACCCAGAACCAUAAAAGGUCUAACCGUGUAAAGAUUGCAGCCUACGCAUCAAUGGCGUCUGUGGUUGGACCAAGACGAGCUUGGAGCCGUGCGAUUUUAUGGAAGAUCAGAAACCGAUGUGUGUUAACAAGAAACAAGAAGAGGGUUCAUCAUAUAACUACUAGUCUUCGUCUUCAUCGACAUCAUGCACGGCCUACAAGGAGAAGAAACCCUAAUAGAGAACAUGUUAACCCGUUUGGGAAUUCGGGUCUAGAAGUGAAGCUUAGGAAGCUUGUACCUGGUGCUGAAACCAUGGAUCCAUGCGGUUUGUUGGAUGAAACUGCUGAUUAUAUAAAGCAUCUGGCCACGCAGGUUGAAGUCAUGAAAACUCUGGUAGAUCUCUACUCCACCGUUUGAAUAUAUACACACAAAAAGAUAAAUAUAUAUACACACACAUAUGUAAAUCGAUAUAUCUAUACAUACAUAUAUACGCGAUCAAUAGAACUUGUGUAUGUAUGAUAAUAUGUCAUCUUGAGAAGCUUGCGAAGAAGAAUAUGUGGAGGUGGUUUAAGUUUUUGAUUAUCUUUUCUAUGAAGAAUUUAUAGCUCAAAUACAUAUGCAGAAUAAAGUGAUCCCAAGUUGGUCUUGCUUUUUUUUUUUUUUUUUUUUUUUUUUNNNNNNNNNNNNNNNNNNNNNNNNNNNAGGUGGUUUUGUUUUUUUUUUUUUUUUUUUUUUUUUUUGUAAAUAUUUAUAAAAAUCUAUGCUUUAAUUUGAAAAUUUUGUGUUAAUUAUUACGUACACUUUAGUUUGUGGAAAUCAAUCUAGAACUUACAUAGAAAUUAUGUAUGGCUUCAAGGAUAGUUUCGUCUAAUAACUUAUCAAUGAAAAUGUUGGUUUCAGUUUUAAAGUGUUGAACUUGAAUUUCUUAAUUAGAGUUCCAAAUGGUCGAAGAAUUCUGGCUUUAUUAAUAAUCAACUAAUGGACGCUUUUAAUUUGAUUAUCGUGUCCUCUGGUUGCUCCGAUUGGACUUUGUUGCGCAUCCAUCUACAUUUCAUUAGAAUUAAUUAAGGUUAAUUAUUCAUGGAAGGUGCACCUAAUUUAUCUUAUCUUAUCCUUAAAGAUCUUUAAAAGCAAUUUAUGUUCAAUACAUAACUUCAUGUCUCUCGAAACCUUGUUUUAUUUUUCAUAGAUAUUAGUAAUACAACAUCGGUUCUAAAUCGAUAAUAACCAGAAAUGUUAUAUAGUCAUAUAUAAUACAUAUAAUGACGUGUGAUUGGAUAUAAUUGUGAGUUAAAAGAUCAUCAAUUAUCUUCAUAUUAAUUUCAUUGAAAGUAAGGAUUGAUAUACAAAUUAAUCGGGGUUUCCAUCAAUUUUAAGUCAAGUCCCAUGUGAAUAGCGUCUUUGUCUUGGUAUAUAAUCAAAUCAAUUAUUUGUUUUUUUUCUUAUAAAUCUUCACCUCUUGUACCGAAUUCCUUUUCCAAUCUAUUCCUUCAAUCUAUUUUUGAGUGAUAUCGUUCUAGAAAAUAGUCUUGAUUUCGACCAUUUCACCAAUCUGAUAUUUAUAGAUUUUUUAUCAUGUUUUUGGCAUUCGUGGUGUUGACGUUAUGUGUCAUGGCAUCUAUUUCAGACAAAAUAAAUAACUUUUUAAAUAAACGUAUCUAUCGUUCGUACAAAAACAGUUUCAAAGCCAAUAUUUCUUGAAAGGUAUUUUUUCCAAUUGUUAAAAUGGUAUGUUAUUCAAUACACAUUAAACCCGAAUGGUGAUUUUGAUUUUUUUUCUCCUCUUCUGAAUAUGGUUGUUUCUUAUAGAAUAUCGUUCCUUCGAUACUCUUACAAGGUCAACAAUGGUAAUAUUAUCGAUUUUAUGGAAACUUCUUAAUUAAUUUUGCCUUUUAACUAGUGUAUGCUCUAAAAACGAAAUAAAUUGGUAACAUGAAAGAGGCGGGGCCGUGGGGGAGGGUUAUGGUAUAGAUUCUUAAAACAAGUGGCUUACUUUAGAACCAUGUGGAAUCGCCAAAUAAUGAUGCAUCAUAUUCAUAUAUAUUCAUCUCUCUCUCUCUCUCUCUCUCUCUCUCUCUCUUUCUUUUUUUAGUUCUUNNNNNNNNNNNNNNNNNNNNNNNNNNNNNNNNNNNNNNNNNNNNNNNNNNNNNNNNNNNNNNNNNNNNNNNNNNNNUCUCUCUCUCUCUCUCUCUCUCUCUCUCUCUCUCUCUCUCUCUCUCUCUCUCUCUCUCUCUCUCUCUCUCUCUCUCUCUCUCUCUUAAAUUUUAGAGUUUAUGUUUUAUACAAAAGAAAUACAGUAUAUCGAAAUUUAUAUAUUUUUUUAAUCUAUCCUAAUAAAUGAAAAUGACUUUGCCACAUGUCAUUCUCUCAUAAAAUUAGCCACAUGUAAUUUUGUCAUAAAUUUGAGAUAUAUAUUUAUUUUCCACUUGUCAUUGCUUCAAUUUUCAUUUUCAAUCUAUCAUUAAUUUAGUUUCUAUAAAUUAAACCUACCAUAAUGACUAUUAAUUUUAAAUUUUAAAUUUUAAAUUCAAUUUCAAAUAAAUUUACAGUUUAAACCUUUAUGUUUAACAUUUUGUUAUAAUUAACUCGUUUAGUACACUAAACACAUAAUUUUAAUUAAUUUAUUUUUUGCAUGUUUUUUUCACAUAAUUUUCACUUAUUUCAAUUUUAAAUUCAAAUAAAAUUUCUAUUUAAUCGUUCGUACUUAACAUUUUGCUUUAAUCAACCCGUAUAAUAUACGGGUCUCACAACUAGUCUAUAAAUAUACAUCAACAUCAAUAUACAACAACAUCGAUAUAAAAAAAAUUGUUUUUUUUAAAUUUCAUGUCAAUUUCACAUUAUCUAACAUUGUAAAUUUAAANNNNNNNNNNNNNNNNNNNNNNNNNNNNNNNNNNNNNNGGUAAGACUAGCAUUUUAAUCAUACAUACAUACAUAUAUAUAUAUAUAUAUAUAUAUAUAUAUAUAUAUAUAUUUUGAUAGGUUAAUAUACAAUAUGAAUGUCUCAUCGGUUAUAAAAACUAUAUAACAUCUAUAGAUUUUUUAGCCUACAUGAUUGUCAAGUUCAUUUGAAUGAUACAUAUGAAUGAUAAAUAUCGAUAUGAAUAAUCGUUAACCAAGAUAUAUCAAAUUUAUAUAUGAAUUGGAGUAAAUAUUCAGGUUCAUAAGAGAAUUUGAGUAUAUUCACGUGUGAAUCUUUUAUGUUAUUUCUAACAUUUUGAUGUUACACCAAUGAAAUUAUUCUGAUUUGUAAAUGAAUUUACUCAACUUUACAUAUGAAUGAUCAAAAAGUUAUUGAAAAAAAUCAAAUAUAAUGAUUAUGUUCGUGUUAAUUAUUGAAAAAAAAUUGUGUAUGUAGGAUUUGAUAUUUAGAAUGGACAACUUGUCAGUUGUCCAUACGCAGGGGAUUAAUAAUUGUCGGCUUGUCAAGUUCCUUGCAUUCAGAAGGGUGUAGUAAAGAAUUAACUCUCUCACUGCUUGCAUCAGUAUACCUCUUUGUGGAGAACAAUGGUACAAUCUAAGAGUAACAUUGCGAUUUACCUAAGAAAAUACAUGUAACGAUCAUAUGACCGACCAUAAGGUUAACAUUAUUGGUGAUUUAAGUAUCACCGGUUCAUUUUAUGUAAUGAGAUUCAUACAUGUUUCAAGGGGAUUAUAUCUUAGUUUUAAUACAAGGUUGAAGGUGUGGAGUGCACACUUGUAUUGGUCUAGAUUGAUCCUGAUACGACUAAAAGAGCGGAGGUCAAAGGGGUCAUGCCCCUUAGCGGGUGUCACAUUGUAAUUAUGUAUGGUUAUCUAUUUCAUAACUGCCUAUCCAAAUCAGGAGUUAUCAAAUGAAACAACCAGUUUUUGAUACAUACAAAAAAUUCACACACUCUCUAGUUCUUGAUCGAUCUUCUGUGUAUAGAACAUCGAUUGUUAUUUUGAGGAUUAUCUUAGGUCGAAUUUCUCAUAACCCAGACAUAUGGGAGAAAUGUCGAUUCUCAAAGUAAACCAAUACGAUCCUUGAUGAAUCCAAUGAUUAUCAAAUUAUGUUUCUACCAUAUUUUCUAAAAAAAUGUGCAUUGUCAUUUGUCAAUACCUACAUUUACAUGUAUGUUCUUGUAAAUAAACGAUAACAUUCUUGAAUAUGUAAGAAAAUAAUAAAAGACACAAAAUCAUAUAUUAACGAUAACACUUUCGAUGUAAAGCUUUCAUAUUUUCUCCGGUCAAUUAGUUCUCAGCCGAUAAGGUGAUUUUGUGUUGAAUAUUUGUUAGAGCAUAUAUAGAAGAUUCAUUUAUAUUUAAAAAUAUGUAGAGUAAUUAAUAUAUGAUACUUACUUACCUUAUUUCUAUGUUCGAAAUACCAUUGUUGUACAAUUUUCUAGAAAAGUCCCAUAAGCAUGGUUACUUGUAGUUUUUGUUGAGUCGUAUACAACAAAUUCAUUGGCUCCACAUUAUUCGAAGUCAUAUAACCAUAAUGAACCCUAAGGAAGCAAGAUUUUUGUCAUUUUUCGUUCCCAAAAUAGUCAAUCCAAUCACAUAUUUCUGGUAAAACACAUUGUAUCAUGACUAUGUGAUAUUCAAAGUUCUCGAUCUGUAACGCUAUGCAUGUAUACUAAUAUAUGAUUUUGUGUCUUUUAUUAUUUUCCUUACAUUUCAAACGAAUAUUCAUCACCAUAUUAAGAAAAUAUAGCCCAUAAUAUGCAUUUAGGAACACAUGUUUUAUAGAUUUAUCUUUAUCACAUACGAUGACCAAGCCUUCCAAAUUAAUGAUAGCUCUAUGGAGUUUUGAUAAAAACCAAUUCCACGAUUUCCUAUUCUCUAUCUUUCCCAAUCCAUAAGUCAGUGGACAAUUUUGAUUUUCCACCCAUGACUACUAAUAGGAACUACGUUCCUCAUACUUCAUUUUCAAGUAUGCAUCAUUUAUAAUGAGUACAAAUAAUAUGAACUGAAAAAUGAUUUUUAGGGUUCACAUACAAUGUUUAUGGCGUAAUAACUAUAAAUCUUACCACAUAACCAAGUGAAACAAAGAAUAACUUAAACUGACAUUGUGUGUUUUUCGUGAUGUAUGUUAUUAUGCCUUUAUUUGCUUUCUUCAGACUAUGACAAUAAGUAAGAAAUUACACGAACGAGUUUUUCAGUGUCUCCUAUAAAAAAUUUCAAAGCCUCACACUUCGCAUGACAAGCUCGAGUGUAAGAAAUAUCUAUUCUAAAUAGAACAUUUAUAUCUCGAAUAAAAAUUAUCCUACGGAAUGCCUACUCAAACACCCCUCGAUAAGGUAGUCUUAAAAAGAAUUAUAAAAUCAUAUAUGUUUACAUCAUAAAGUUUUUAACUUCAAAAUUUGUAGAAAGUACAACCCCAUUACAGUUUCAAAAUACUUCAAAAGAUAAUAAUGUAGAAUUACGUCUUAAAGUCUCAAAAUAAAGUGACAUAUUUGAAAGAGCAAUGUAGUAUCCAAAUCAAUAUCAUAACAUAUUUCUAAGUUCUUACCACACAAUAGUGGCCUUCUAAAGUGUCAUAUGUAUAUUCUAAGAAACUCAUAUGUCUUCAAAUCUAAACACAAGUCAAAAUAAAUUUGAAAAAGAAAAUUUCUAAUGAGAUUGCCCCAAACUUGACUCAUUUUGAGUAACUAAUAUGGUAAUCAUUACACUCGAAUCAAACCUCAAAAAUCAAUGCAAACCAACAGCAUACCAUGCGUUUUAGUAAACAAACAUGUAUAGUAACAAAAACUCAAAUAACCAAGCUAAAAGGUAUAUGAAUCCACAUUCAAAUUCAUGGAUUUGUUAUAUAUAACCGAAUAAAGAGUUUAUUAACUCAUAACUUAAACUAAUGAUAUAUUAGCUUAAAAAUCCAAUAUAAAGGACUAAAUAAACAACAAUCUAUAAAAAAGAAAUUAGUAUUCCAUAAUCCAAAGAAAAUGGUUAGAUAAACCACGAUCUCUAGUGAAAGGUUUAAUAUUUCAAUAAACCAUUUCGUAAAGAUUAAUAACUAGAAAUCUCAAAUAAAAUAAUCUUUAAUAAAAUCAUAAUUCAUAUAAAAGAAUCUCAAGACUCAUGAAUAGUAUGCAAAAAACACCAUCUUCAACUUUUGUCCAAAACCAAACAAAGCAUGGACUCAUUGAUAAUAUGCAUUUAGCACCACCUUAAACUUUUGUCUAUAACCAAACAUUGAUAUGGACUCAUAGAGAGUAUGUAUUUAUCAACACCUCCAACUUUUGUCCCAAACUAAACAAAUAUAUGGAUACGUAUCUAUCCAAAACCAAGUCAAUCUCAAAGUUAAAACUCCUAAUUAAUGAUGGUAUCGAAAAAUUGGACUUAUGAGUAGUGAGAACAUAUCACAACCCUUAACCUUUUUUACAUUUACAAACUACGGAAUAUGGAUAAUCGUGCAAAUCCAUACAGGGGUACAAAACCUCUCUUGUGCAUGUGAGGGAUUUUUAGAAUCCUGCUCACGACCUAUAUCUUGGUUAUUUAAUAAAGCAAGAGAUCUCAAAGUUAUGUGGCCACUUAAGCCAACCCAACCCUAUAUGCAUUCACAAAACCAUUUCAAAACUAUGUAUAUACUUUUAUCAAAAUAAUAUAUAUCCACAAGAAAUAUAUCAUCAACGCAAAUAAAUACCAUUGUUACACAAAAAGCAAGCAGGUUCAUAUUAUAUGAGAUCAAACAUAACAAUAUGAUAUAAAAUCAAACCGAAGAAACAACGUCAAAGUAAUUAUAGUGACUUGAAUUCUUAGUAAAUCCAUAUUAGAAUUCCUUCUAGCUUCUAUUACUUAUGUUCCCUUUCUAGAAUGGUUUGAGAACUUAAUUGUCACCUAUAAGUAUCAAUUGAUAUGUCAAAAUAUCAUUAUAUGGAUCAUUAAGAUCUUAAUCCUAAAAAUGAAAUUUUACAAUUUCAAAUCUUCCCUUAAAUUAAAAUAUGAACGUAGACAAAAAUAGAGAUUGAUUUAGCGUUUGUAGGCAAAAGUUAUGUCAUUUUUUGUAUCGAUAUAAUACUAUUCAAAAAGUUACACGAUUGUGUUUUUUCUUUACUAUAAAAACACGAUGUGUACCUUUAUGUAGAACAGAUUAUUUUAUAUAUCUUUUUCAAUGUUGAAAAAAUCCACACUAGGUCUUGAUUAAUCUCCUCCUUAGGCGCUACUCGACUGACUAGAGGGCAGCUGACGAUUAAUCCCUACAUACACAAUGAGGGAAUCGGUAGAAAACGAUGAAAUUUUAACACUUUGAAGAAUUUUAUCUCAAUAAAAACUAUUUGAGUUACGAUUAGUUUUGUAUCAAUCAUAUUUACCUAUUUUGUGUAACAUCCUGAUGUUAAGGCACUUCUAAAUUCAUGCUGUUAUUUUUUUAUGACAUUUUGGUCCAUAAGUCCAAGAGAAUGUGUCUAUGUGAGGCCUUAGUGGCAAAAUUGUAAAUUUGGAAGAAUGGGAGUACGCCAUGCAUGCGUACGUAUGCUUAGCGUACUAGGGUGCGCCCUAGUACGUUGGGCGAACAUCAGCGUACGCGAGGUGUACUCGCCAGGUGUAGAAACCCUAGAUCUAGGGUUAAAGCCCUAUAUAAUCAUCCUUAUAGCCUUAUUUCCCUCACCUCUUCAGCCUCCACUCUCCUUGAGAUGUUUUUGCAAACCCUAACCCAUGAGUGUGUGUUUUGAGAUUAAGUGUGUGUUCUUGGUGUGUUGAAGGAAGAAAUAAGAUUCAUUGAGGAUCCUUGGUGUGGAAGCAAGCUUGUAGAUCUGGGAUCUUUGUCUCUUUGGGAAGCUCUAGAAGGUAUUAAGCUUUGAUCGUGACUUGUAUUUCCUUAAGAUCUAGCCAUGUGAAGUUUUAUGAGUUUUUAGUCCCUUUUCUUGGACUUAAUAAGUAAAAGCUACUCUAAGACCAAAGGAGCCGUCCUUUUAGAAUAUUUGAGGUGAAUUAAGUUGUAUAAAUGCUAUUUUGACUCAUUUAGUUCUUGUGUGCAAGAUAUAGAGGUCUUAAGUGGUUAAGACAAACUAGGGUUUUGGUUUUGGGAAUUAUUAAGGCAUGUAUGAGCAUAAAGUUGAAACUUUGUGGUUAGGAGAUCCUUUUUAGACUUCGAUCUGGAUUUGGACGUUCAGACUCAUAGAAUUAAGAACUUAAUGGAGAUUUUGCAUGGCCACUGCAUCCACUAGGCAUACCUUGGCGUACAUUGGAUGUAGGUGGUCAACUGCCUAUUUUUGGUUAAGGGUGGAGUAUGUGGGGCGUAGAGGCUAAGUACGUUGGGCGUACUCAACUAGGUUGACUUUUCAUUGACUGCUGACUUUUGACCUAGUUUAACCCUAGCGGCAUUUUGGGAAUUUGUUAUGAAGCCUAAGGUUGGGUCUUUCCCUAUGUAUAGGUGAUCUAUAAAGUGGACUCGUGGAGUGAUAUUCUUUUCUGCUAUCUUUUACGGAUUUGCGAGGUGAUUUUCCCUCAUUGUAUUUACAUAUCGAAGGCACCAAGGCCGACCCAUUGGUUUGAUAACCUGAUAUUUGUUGGUAUGCUUAGUAUGGAAUACAUAUGCAUGCUAGUUUUGAUAUGCUAGUUUGGUAGAUCAGUAGGAUUACAUGUGAUACUAUCUGUAUGAUUAUUUGUAUAUAUGUUAGUAUCUGUUAUAUGUCGACAUAUUGUGUGGGUUGGGUUGAGGUUGUACUGCUCCAUGCGGUAGCCAACAAACCCUGGGGCAAUCCAGAUAUGAGAUGAGGGUUGGUUAGGGCAUGCAAGAAUCAUACUGAGGGAUCAUUAGCAUUACAGAUACGAUCUGAAGGUCGGGUAGGGCAUGCCAGACUCAUAAUGAGGCUUUGGUGGUAUUCAUUCCAAGGAUUAAUCUGGUCGGUGAGCAAGCCAUAAAUAAGUUAUGGGCCCCAAGGGUAAGCUAGACUUAUGCUUUGGGCUCAGGGGUAAUCCAGUCUUUUAGCGGUGGACCCAUUUCAUGUUGUUAUUAUAUAUGCGUUAUUAGUUUAUGUGAUGGUACUUUGGGGGAACUCACUAAGUGUUGGCUUACAGUUUUGGGUUAUGUUUCAGGUACUUCAGAGGAUCGUGGAAAGGCAAAGGCGUGACCGUACACAUCCUCAUGUUUUGGACUUAUGAUUUUGGGAAACUAUGAUAUAGACAAUGUUUUGAAAAUUAUGUUGUAAAAAAUUUGUGAUUUUGAGUUGGCUUUUAAAAGUUUAAAUUUUUCAUGAUUUUAUGAAAGUUACAAGUUAGUUUUAGAGCCUUGGUUUUAGUGAAUUGGAGAAACACUCGUGUGAAUCCAGUCUCAAACUAAGGAAAAGAAUUUUAAAACGAUUUUCAAAGUGUUUUCAAAAUAAUCAAGGAGGAUGCGAUGUGUACGAUCAGUCGGAACCAGUAAGUAGACCCAAAAUUACCACAUUGUUAUUUGAUAUUGUGAUAUGUUAGAACAACAUGCUAGUGAUAGGCUAGGGAUCUUCAGGAAUUGCAUGAUAGUGUUGGGUUUAGUUCAAAAAUAGUUUCAUAUACUAGAAAAAUAUGGCAAUGGAAGAAUUUAAUUUUUGAAAUAACAUAAACAUUUUAUACCCACCAAGGAUCUUCUUGCAACUUAUAUAAAGAUUAAAAUACCAACCAAAGAAGAGGUGAAGAAAUAACAACAUUUGUAGUUCUUUGGGUCCUCUUGGGAGGUUUGGAAGUUGAUGAAUAAUGUGGAACCUUUGAGACACCAACAAUGAAUCAACUUGAUGUAGAUGCUAGUCCAAAACUCUUAAACUCUUAAGCUUGAAGUUCAUAACCAAUAUGAACUUCGAGAGAGCAAAAGAUAUGCAAGUAAUCUUCAAUAACUCAAAGCAAAGAAUAGAUGGAGAGUCUCCUAGAGAGCUAUCGUCCAUUAGAAGAGAAGCGACACCCCAAGAGUGCAAGACACUAGCUAUUUAAAGCAUGAACUUAAUCUAAAGGUCUUUAUCCAAUAAGCACUUUAGACAAGCUUGCCCCCAUGUCAUAAGAGUGUUCCCCAUUCUUAUGUAUGCUUUUGAAUAAACUAAGAAGAAAUCCAUGACUAUUUAUCUUUAUUCAAUUUUUCGGAAAUUGUAUAUAAAAAGAAGAGUUUGUUUAAAUUUUAUAAACUAAAGUUUUUUAUAAAAUAUAAAAUUUGUCUUUUGAGUAAAAGACAAAAGGGCUUCAACUAGUCCAAAAAGUUGUACACAACUUAUUAAUUCAUACCAUAUGAAUAAUAUUACUUGCUAAUUAAAAUUGUUAUUUCCAUGAAAUAAAUAAUUUCCAAUUUAAUCAUAAGAGUUUUUUUAAUAGUUAUUAAAAUCAAUUUCUAAUAAAUAAUCAUUUGUAUCAAGUUGCUGUUAGUAUGAUCCAUUAGUAUCAUAUGUUAUUUGGCAAUAUCACUUUAAUAUGACUCCUGAGCAUACUAGACCUUUCAAUCUCCCACUUGCACGAGACUCAUAUUAGACUGAUAUAGAUAGUGGUGAACGUAUAGCAACAUUUCACUGCUCCCAAGACCAUACAACUUUUUGUGUCAUUUUAUCAAUGCUCAAUUCCUAAAAAGCUCAAAGCUACAAUUGGUGUAUAAGGUAAGUUUAUCAGUUAUCCCUUUGCUAUGGACAUCAUGUUGAACAUGAGAUUUGGAUUGCGAUCAAUCUCAUUAGUUGUUAAACUUUUAGUAAGAUGCCUUAGCUGUCUAACUCUCAACACAUAAGAGUAA
rnacentral:lncRNA from 1 species